GCCUCGGUGGCUCAGACGGUAGAGCGGCGACCUCGUAAGUCGCAAGUCGCGGGUUCAAGACCCGCCCGAGGCUCCA
rnacentral:tRNA from 1 species